rnacentral:rRNA from 1 species
AUACGGAGGAUCCGAGCGUUAUCCGGAUUUAUUGGGUUUAAAGGGUGCGCAGGCGGCCAUUUAAGUCAGCGGUUAAAUCGUGGGGCUCAACCCCAUUCUGCCGUUGAUACUGGGUGGCUUGAUUGCGGUCGAGGUUGGCGGAAUUCGUUGUGUAGCGGUGAAAUGCAUAGAUAUGACGAAGAACACCGAUUGCGUAGGCAGCUGACCAGAUCGCAAAUGACGCUCAUGCACGAAAGUGCGGGGAUCGAACAGGAUUAGAUUCCCUGGUAGUCCGCACAGUAAACGAUGAAUACUUGUUUUCGGCGAUAUAAUGUCGGAGGCAAAGCGAAAGCGAUAAGUAUUCCACCUGGGGAGUACGCCGGCAACGGUGAAACUCAAAUGAAUUGACGGGG